rnacentral:ncRNA from 2 species
CGAGCCCUGGCGGGAGAGCACCCGACCCGGUCGGGACGCCGAAGGAGCAACCCCUCCCCGAGAAUCUCUCAGGCACAGAUACCGCCAACGGCGA